UGCAUGGUUGUCGUCAGCUCGUGUCGUGAGAUGUUGGGUUAAGUCCCGCAACGAGCGCAACCCUUGUCUUUAGUUGCCAUCAUUAAGUUGGGCACUCUAGAGAGACUGCCAGGGAUAACCUGGAGGAAGGUGGGGAUGACGUCAAAUCAUCAUGCCCCUUAUGCUUAGGGCUACACACGUGCUACAAUGGGUAGUACAGAGGGUUGCCAAGCCGUAAGGUGGAGCUAAUCCCUUAAAGCUACUCUCAGUUCGGAUUGUAGGCUGAAACUCGCCUACAUGAAGCUGGAGUUACUAGUAAUCGCAGAUCAGAAUGCUGCGGUGAAUGCGUU
rnacentral:rRNA from 1 species